rnacentral:piRNA from 1 species
AAAUAGUUGGAGUAAUUUGGACCUGG